GACGUAGGGCGCGAGCGUUGUCCGGAUUUAUUGGGCGUAAAGAGCUCGUAGGCGGCUCGUUGCGUCAACCGUGAAAACCAGCAGCUCAACUGUUGGCUUGCGAUUGAUACGGGUGGGCUGGAGUUCGGUAGGGGAGACUGGAAUUCCUGGUGUAGCGGUGAAAUGCGCAGAUAUCAGGAGGAACACCGGUGGCGAAGGCGGGUCUCUGGGCCGAUACUGACGCUGAGGAGCGAAAGCGUGGGGAGCGAACAGG
rnacentral:rRNA from 1 species